rnacentral:snRNA from 1 species
GGAUGUGAGGCAACCUUAAUGUGGCAUCUGUUACAUCAUUGAUUGCCAGGGUUAACUCAGCAGAUCUGGCAGGCUAGUCGAGUAUCCCCUUUCUACCUCACUGCUCCAUGUGUGUCCCUCCCAAAGUCAGGUGUUCAGUGUGUGAGGGUGACCUUCCUCCCUCCAAAUCCUCCUGUGUUCUUCCCUCUCCCUCCAAAAUUCAUGACCUCUUGUUAUCAUUGUUACAUGCACAUACAUGUGUGCAUAUGUAUAUGU